rnacentral:rRNA from 1 species
UACGGAGGGUGCAAGUGUUAUUCGGAAUCACUGGGCGUAAAGAGCACGUAGGCGGAUAGGCAAGUCAGAUGUGAAAUCCCGGAGCUCAACUCCGGAACUGCAUUUGAUACUGCCUGUCUUGAGUGAGGUAGAGGGGAGUGGAAUUCCCGGUGUAGAGGUGAAAUUCGUAGAUAUCGGGAGGAACACCAGAGGCGAAGGCGACUCCCUUGGCCUCUACUGACGCUGAGGUGCGAAAGCGUGGGGAGCAAACAGGAUUAGAUA